CCCCACAUAAAAACUGAUCCGCAUUCCUUCUGUUCCCAGUUUUCCCACCCCUCAUCCUUCCAAAUCAUGAUCCCUUCAUCUUUCUCCCAAGAAGGCAGUGGCAAGAAUGAGGCAUGGGUACUGUUAUGCACAAAAACACUGAAAAGAUUCGUCUAUUUAUGCAUCAAUUAAAAUUCCCAAAGAUCUACGGCAAUCAUAUUGGUAUAAUUUAGUACGUGUUCUAAGACAUGUUCCAUUUUUAAGCAUCUGAUUUAAAUAUAUUAUCCUGUUAUAAUUGUUAUCUUUAAUAUGUCUACAGUGUGCUCCUGUUUGAUCUCUUUUUGCUAGACCAGUAUCUGUCAAUAUUAUUGCUAAAAAUAACUGGCUUAUUUCGUGGCUUGGACCUAUUCUUUGUGGUUAUGCCAUCUGAGCAGGCACCUAUCAGUUUUCAAGCAUGCCCUUUCUAUAAUUCAGCUAGCCCAUUUGAAGCCCCUAGGGCGGACGAAACAUGGAAAGGGCAUCAGACGAAUGGCAAACAACAACGACGGGCAUCUCCAAAUCAUGAGCGGAUCAGGUCCAAAUCGUAACCAACAACCCAAAUGAAGUUGAUCCGGAAUGGGAUUCAUCACAAACUACAAUUGGUUAUGUGGAUGGAAAUAGUGACCUAGCUCACAGUGUGCUUGAGAACUGAUUUAGAAUGCAUUGGUGCAUCCAUCGCAUGGCCCUGUCCAUUCAUCUCGGUAGUCCAUGAGGAUUGAGGACGCAUGAUGACUCAAGAUUUUAUGCUUCUUAUUUCUUUAAUUGUUUUUAAUUUCUUUGUUAAAUGUUAAGACUUUAUGUUAGAUAAUGUUAUAACUUAUUUAUGGUUAGUGUUUUUGUUAUGAACAUGCUUAAUAUAAUGAAGUUUUAUU
rnacentral:lncRNA from 1 species